UACAGAGGGUGCGAGCGUUAAUCGGAAUUACUGGGCGUAAAGCGCACGUAGGUGGCUGAGUCAGUCGAUUGUGAAAGCCCUGGGCUUAACCUGGGAAUUGCAGUCGAUACUACUCAGCUAGAGUAUGGGAGAGGGCAGUGGAAUUCCCGGUGUAGCGGUGAAAUGCGUAGAUAUCGGGAAGAACACCCGUGGCGAAGGCGGUUCUCUGGGACGGUACUGACGCUGAGACGCGAAAGCGUGGGGAGCGAACAGG
rnacentral:rRNA from 1 species